rnacentral:rRNA from 1 species
CCUACGGGAGGCAGCAGUGGGGAAUCUUGCGCAAUGGGCGAAAGCCUGACGCAGCCAUGCCGCGUGAAUGAUGAAGGUCUUAGGAUUGUAAAAUUCUUUCACCGGGGAAGAUAAUGACGGUACCCGGAGAAGAAGCCCCGGCUAACUUCGUGCCAGCAGCCGCGGUAAUACGAAGGGGGCUAGCGUUGCUCGGAAUUACUGGGCGUAAAGGGCGCGUAGGCGGAUGUUUAAGUCGGGGGUGAAAGCCCGGGGCUCAACCUCGGAAUUGCCUUCGAUACUGGACAUCUUGAGUACGGGAGAGGUGAGUGGAACUCCGAGUGUAGAGGUGAAAUUCGUAGAUAUUCGGAAGAACACCAGUGGCGAAGGCGACUCACUGGCCCGUUACUGACGCUGAGGCGCGAAAGCGUGGGGAGCAAACAGGAUUAGAUACCCGAGUAGUC